CAAAUACACACAAAGAAAAGGAAAAAAAGUCAGAGAAAUUUUGAGCAUUUUCAAAAAAACCUAAAUCGAAAAUAAGUGACUUUUGAAAGUAAUUCUUGAAAGAAAAGUUGGGGAAACAGUUCAAAAACUCAAGUAGAGCAUGGAUACACAACAGAUCUAAGAAAAAUCAGAGAAAACCUGGAAUAGUUAGGGUUGCAGAAGAACCCUAAAAUGAGAAAGGCUUUGAAAAGGUCCGAUCUGAGCCAGAGAAGAUCAAAAUCAGGCUCAGAAGACCAGGAUACGCCAGAGCAAGGACGUAGAUGGCCGUAGAACCUUGAAUCGAUGGAGUUCUGGGCAAAAACCUUCGAGGUUAGACCUCGAAUCUUCCAGUACCAAGUGCAUAAGAGCAAAGGGAUGUGAGUAUAAGGCUUCCACGACCUGAGAAGCCAUGGAUUUUGGUGAGUUUAAGGUAGAAGGCGGUGAUAGGGUGCUAGGCUUAGAGGAAGGUUUGAGAGAGAUGAGAGGAUUCAAAG
rnacentral:lncRNA from 1 species